AUAGGGGAGCCGGAGGGAAACCGAGUCUUAAUUGGGCGUUAAGUUGCAGGGUAUAGACCCGAAACCCGGUGAUCUAGCCAUGGGCAGGUUGAAGGUUGGGUAACACUAACUGGAGGACCGAACCGACUAAUGUUGAAAAAUUAGCGGAUGACCUGUGGCUGGGGGUGAAAGGCCAAUCAAACCGGGAGAUAGCUGGUUCUCCCCGAAAGCUAUUUAGGUAGCGCCUCGUGAAUUCAUCUCCGGGGGUAGAGCACUGUUUCGGCUAGGGGGCCAUCCCGGCUUACCAACCCGAUGCAAACUGCGAAUACCGGAGAAUGUUAUCACGGGAGACACACGGCGGGUGCUAACGUCCGUCGUGAAGAGGGAAACAACCCAGACCGCCAGCUAAGGUCCCAAAGUCAUGGUUAAGUGGGAAACGAUGUGGGAAGGCCCAGACAGCCAGGAUGUUGGCUUAGAAGCAGCCAUCAUUUAAAGAAAGCGUAAUAGCUCACUGGUCGAGUCGGCCUGCGCGGAAGAUGUAACGGGGCUAAACCAUGCACCGAAGCUGCGG
rnacentral:rRNA from 1 species